GGCGGCGUGCUAUACAUGCAAGUCGAGCGAACAGAUAAGGAGCUUGCUCCUUUGACGUUAGCGGCGGACGGGUGAGUAACACGUGGGUAACCUACCUAUAAGACUGGGAUAACUUCGGGAAACCGGAGCUAAUACCGGAUAACAUUUGGAACCGCAUGGUUCUAAAGUGAAAGAUGGUUUUGCUAUCACUUAUAGAUGGACCCGCGCCGUAUUAGCUAGUUGGUAAGGUAACGGCUUACCAAGGCGACGAUACGUAGCCGACCUGAGAGGGUGAUCGGCCACACUGGAACUGAGACACGGUCCAGACUCCUACGGGAGGCAGCAGUAGGGAAUCUUCCGCAAUGGGCGAAAGCCUGACGGAGCAACGCCGCGUGAGUGAUGAAGGGUUUCGGCUCGUAAAACUCUGUUAUUAGGGAAGAACAAACGUGUAAGUAACUGUGCACGUCUUGACGGUACCUAAUCAGAAAGCCACGGCUAACUACGUGCCAGCAGCCGCGGUAAUACGUAGGUGGCAAGCGUUAUCCGGAAUUAUUGGGCGUAAAGCGCGCGUAGGCGGUUUCUUAAGUCUGAUGUGAAAGCCCACGGCUCAACCGUGGAGGGUCAUUGGAAACUGGGAAACUUGAGUGCAGAAGAGGAAAGUGGAAUUCCAUGUGUAGCGGUGAAAUGCGCAGAGAUAUGGAGGAACACCAGUGGCGAAGGCGACUUUCUGGUCUGUAACUGACGCUGAUGUGCGAAAGCGUGGGGAUCAAACAGGAUUAGAUACCCUGGUAGUCCACGCCGUAAACGAUGAGUGCUAAGUG
rnacentral:rRNA from 1 species